CACAGGUGCUGCAUGGCUGUCGUCAGCUCGUGUCGUGAGAUGUUCGGUUAAGUCCGGCAACGAGCGCAACCCACAUCUUCAGUUGCCAGCAGUUCGGCUGGGCACUCUGGAGAAACUGCCCGUGAUAAGCGGGAGGAAGGUGUGGAUGACGUCAAGUCCUCAUGGCCCUUACGGGAUGGGCUACACACGUGCUACAAUGGCGGUGACAAUGGGCAGCGAAGGGGCGACCUGGAGCGAAUCCCCAAAAGCCGUCUCAGUUCGGAUUGCACUCUGCAACUCGGGUGCAUGAAGGCGGAAUCGCUAGUAAUCGUGGAUCAGCACGCCACGGUGAAUACGUUCCCGGGCCUUGUACACACCGCCCGUCACACCAUGGGAGUUGGCUGCACCAGAAGCCG
rnacentral:rRNA from 14 species